GGGGACGUAGCUCAGCCUGGGAGAGCGCUGCGCUGAAGACGCAGGUGAAGGGUGUGAUGCCCUCCUGAAUCACGGAUUCAAAUUCCGUCGUCCCCA
rnacentral:tRNA from 1 species